rnacentral:rRNA from 1 species
AGUCGAACGCGAAAGUGGGGGCAACCCUGCGAGUAGAGUGGCGAACGGGUGAGAAACACAUCGGAACGUACCCAGGAGUGGGGGACAACCUCCAGAAAUCGAGGCUAAUACCGCAUACGUCCUGAGGGAGAAAGCGGGGGAUCCGUAAGGACCUCGCGCUCAUGGAGCGGCCGAUGUCCGAUUAGCUAGUUGGCGGGGUAAGAGCCCACCAAGGCGACGAUCGGUAGCUGGUUUGAGAGAACGACCAGCCACACUGGGACUGAGACACGGCCCAGACUCCUACGGGAGGCAGCAGUGGGGAAUUUUGGACAAUGGGCGAAAGCCUGAUCCAGCCAUGCCGCGUGAGUGAAGAAGGCCUUCGGGUUGUAAAGCUCUUUCGGCCGGAACGAAAUCGGGUACGUGAAUAACGGAUCUGGAUGACGGUACUGGAAGAAGAAGCACCGGCUAACUACGUGCCAGCAGCCGCGGUAAUACGUAGGGUGCGAGCGUUAAUCGGAAUUACUGGGCGUAAAGCGUGCGCAGGCGGUUCUGCAAGUCAGAUGUGAAAUCCCCGGGCUUAACCUGGGAACUGCGUUUGAAACUACGGAGCUAGAGUGCGGCAGAGGGGGGUGGAAUUCCACGUGUAGCAGUGAAAUGCGUAGAUAUGUGGAGGAACACCGAUGGCGAAGGCAGCCCCCUGGGCCGACACUGAGCUCAGCACGAAAGCGUGGGGAGCAAACAGGAUUAGAUACCCCUAACUAUGCGAACUAGUUUGUGGGGAAGCAAUUCUUUGGGAAC